CAGAAAACGCCCAGUGUCAAAGUUCAGCGAUCAACACCCAGAGUAAGGUGAUAUGCCUCAGCAAUGGAGAAGCAGCACAGAAAAUGAGCACAUGGAAAGGUGCUGAUGUGUUCCCUCACACCACGCCGCAGGUCCAUUUCUCUCAGGCCCCGAGGUGUAAAUAGGAAUGUUCUGGCUGAAUUCACAGCGUCUCCAUAACCACACAUUGGUCAGCCAUCAUCAUCAUCCUCCGUUAGGACGAGUCUGAACUGGAAGAGAUAAGGGUGGCAGGUCGGUGUCAGUGAGGUAAAUCCAGUCUGAGUCAUGUUCAGAAGUCUGACUAACCACAAACAACCUGCCAUCUGUCAUUCGCUUGCUACAAAUUCAUUAGUGUCACAUUGAUGAGUCUGUUAUGCUGAUGUGAAGAUAUCAGAGGCGGGUGAGC